rnacentral:rRNA from 1 species
GUCCACGCUGUAAACGAUGUCAACUAGCCGUUGGGCCUAUAUACAGGUUUAGUGGCGCAGCUAACGCAUUAAGUUGACCGCCUGGGGAGUACGGCCGCAAGGUUAAAACUCAAAUGAAUUGACGGGGGCCCGCACAAGCGGUGGAGCAUGUGGUUUAAUUCGAUGCAACGCGAAGAACCUUACCUACCCUUGACAUCCAGAGAAUCUGUUAGAGAUAGUAGAGUGCCUUCGGGAACUCUGAGACAGGUGCUGCAUGGCUGUCGU